rnacentral:lncRNA from 1 species
AAACUAUCCCGAGGUCUUUAACGAACUUAUUCGUUUGAUUAAUUAACAUAUUAAUUAAUCCUUGCCACAAAUAAAUGAUUAAACCAUUUAAUCAUUCUUACUCAUCUCCAUUGUUUCUUCAAUCUCCACCUUACACGGUGUGCGAUCCAUUAGGUUCCUUUUAGCGAGGCAGUGGGUGAUUAAAACCAUUUUACAUCGAUUGUGAAUUGAAACUUACUUUCAAUUCUCCCUUUAGUGAUUACACACGUUUAGGGCUUCCACAAACCAUGAGUGACACCUUGCAGCAUAUCAUGGUUACCCAAGCUAAUCAGAAGAGGUAGAGAAAACCUAUUCAGUUUGCGAUUACAAAUGCAAUACGGUCUUUCUCUAAUCUAAUACUCCUGACCACAUUGUUUGGUUUGAUAGUUUAUUUAUUCAUGUCUACUAUCCAAUGUGAUUCGUGUACUUAUAUGAUUUCCUUGAAUGUGAUUCGGAACGCAUUCCCAAAUCUCAUUCAUACUCUGGCCAGAGAUUCUAAAUCAUAUCAUAGAGUAUUCUCCCUCAAACAGUUUGAAGGUUA